CGCGUAGGCGGGCCGCAAAGUCAGGGGUGAAAUCCUCCAGCUUAACUGGAGAACUGCCUUUGAUACUGGCGGCCUGGAGUAAGGUAGGGGCGUGCGGAACUGAUGGUGGAGCGGUGAAAUGUGUUGAUAUCAUCAGGAACUCCGGUGGCGAAAGCGGCACGCUGGACCUUCACUGACGCUGAGGCGCGAAAGCCAGGGAGCAAACG
rnacentral:rRNA from 1 species